rnacentral:tRNA from 1 species
CCCUGUAGCUCAAAUGGUAAAGAAUCUGCCUGCAAUGCAGGAGACCUGGGUUCAAACCCUGUGUUGGGA